rnacentral:rRNA from 1 species
GAUUAAGUUAUUAAGGGCGCACGGUGGAUGCCUUGGCACUAGAAGCCGAUGAAGGACGUUACUAACGACGAUAUGCUUUGGGGAGCUGUAAGUAAGCUUUGAUCCAGAGAUUUCCGAAUGGGGAAACCCAGCAUGAGUUAUGUCAUGUUAUCGAUAUGUGAAUACAUAGCAUAUCAGAAGGCACACCCGGAGAACUGAAACAUCUUAGUACCCGGAGGAAGAGAAAGAAAAUUCGAUUCCCUUAGUAGCGGCGAGCGAAACGGGAAGAGCCCAAACCAACAAGCUUGCUUGUUGGGGUUGUAGGACACUCUAUACGGAGUUACAAAGGACGACAUUAGACGAAUCAUCUGGAAAGAUGAAUCAAAGAAGGUAAUAAUCCUGUAGUCGAAAAUGUUGUCUCUCUUGAGUGGAUCCUGAGUACGACGGAGCACGUGAAAUUCCGUCGGAAUCUGGGAGGACCAUCUCCUAAGGCUAAAUACUCUCUAGUGACCGAUAGUGAACCAGUACCGUGAGGGAAAGGUGAAAAGCACCCCGGAAGGGGAGUGAAAUAGAACCUGAAACCGUGUGCUUACAAGUAGUCAGAGCCCGUUAAUGGGUGAUGGCGUGCCUUUUGUAGAAUGAACCGGCGAGUUACGAUUUGAUGCAAGGUUAAGCAGUAAAUGUGGAGCCGUAGCGAAAGCGAGUCUGAAUAGGGCGUUUAGUAUUUGGUCGUAGACCCGAAACCAGGUGAUCUACCC